CUUUCAACAACGGAUCUCUUGGUUCUGGCACCGAUGAAGAACGCAGCGAAAUGCGAUAAGUAAUGUGAAUUGCAGAAUUCAGUGAAUCAUCGAAUCUUUGAACGCACAUUGCGCCCCCUGGUAUUCCGGGGGGCAUGCCUGUUCGAGCGUCAUUA
rnacentral:rRNA from 1 species